rnacentral:rRNA from 1 species
ACGUAGGGUGCGAGCGUUAAUCGGAAUUACUGGGCGUAAAGCGUGCGCAGGCGGAUUGUUAAGCAAGACGUGAAAUCCCCGGGCUUAACCUGGGAAUGGCGUUUUGAACUGGCAGUCUAGAGUGUGUCAGAGGGGGGUAGAAUUCCACGUGUAGCAGUGAAAUGCGUAGAGAUGUGGAGGAAUACCAAUGGCGAAGGCAGCCCCCUGGGAUAACACUGACGCUCAUGUACGAAAGCGUGGGUAGCAAACAGGAUUAGAUACCCUGGUAGUCCACGCCCUAAACGAUGUCAACUGGUUGUUGGGGGAGUGAAAUCCCUUAGUAACGAAGCUAACGCGUGAAGUUGACCGCCUGGGGAGUACGGUCGCAAGAUUA